GUGCCAGCAGCCGCGGUAAUACAUAGGGAGCAAGCGUUAUCCGGAAUGAUUGGGCGUAAAGCGUCUGUAGGUGGUUCAAAAAGUCUACUGUCAAAUACGUUGGCUCAACCAACGGCAGGCAUUAGAGUACUAUUGAACUAGAGUGUGGUAGAGGUAGAGGGAAUCCCUAGCGUAACAGUGAAAUGUGUAGAUUUUAGGGAGAACACCAGCGGCGAAGGCGCUCUACUGGGCCAUUACUGACACUGAGAGACGAAAGCUAAGGGAGCGAAAGGGAUUAGAUACCCCUGUAGUCC
rnacentral:rRNA from 1 species